UGGUGUACCUGCACCCCCCGCUCACCAUCUUCGUCCUGGAGCAGCGAGCCUUCGGGCGCAUGGUGCUGGUAGGGACACACGUGGUGCAGAGUCUCAUGCGGUUUGCACCCAAAGACCUGGAAGAGCUGAUUGAGGAGGAGGAGCCGGAGCAGAAGGGGAAUAAACCUCACAAGAUAAUGAAUCCGCUGAACGCCGUCAUCAACAUGGGCCUGGGCUCCCUUCCUAUGGCAGCCACCAAGAUCCUUAUCAACCCCAUCAACCUGGUGUAAAAAACCAUGAGUAAAGUCCCCCUCAAAAUCCUCAAACAGAAGGAGCUAGAAAAGGAGGAGCCUGAGAAGGAGGAGCUUGACUGGUGGUCCAAGUACUACGCCUCUCUGGCAGAGCUGGAGAAAAAGGUUACGAUUGAACUAACCAGACAUACCUGGAAUGCAGAUAUAGAAGGACCAGUGGUUUCCUACAGGAAUCGGAGUCAAACUAGAAACUCACAUGAUAGACUAGCUAAGUGACUCGCACCGCCAGCACAACUGUGUGAAUCAGUCCUAUUGAUGCAAUGAAGACUACACCAAUGAGAAGGACCAC